GGAUUAGAUACCCUGGUAGUCCACGCAGUAAACGAUGAUUACUGGCUGUUUGCGAUACAAUGUAAGCGGCUGAGCGAAAGCGUUAAGUAAUCCACCUGGGGAGUACGUUCGCAAGAAUGAAACUCAAAGGAAUUGACGGGGGCCCGCACAAGCGGAGGAACAUGUGGUUUAAUUCGAUGAUACGCGAGGAACCUUACCCGGGCUUGAAAUGCAUCUGACGUAUUCGGAAACGGAUAUUCCCUACGGGGCAGAUGUGUAGGUGCUGCAUGGUUGUCGUCAGCUCGUGCCG
rnacentral:rRNA from 1 species